rnacentral:rRNA from 1 species
UACAGAGGGUGCGAGCGUUAAUCGGAAUUACUGGGCGUAAAGCGUGCGUAGACGGUUAUCUAAGUCGGAUGUGAAAGCCCCGGGCUCAACCUGGGAAUUGCAUUCGAGACUGAAUAGCUAGGGUACGGUAGAGGGAAGUGGAAUUUCCGGUGUAGCGGUGAAAUGCGUAGAUAUCGGAAGGAACACCUGUGGCGAAAGCGGACUCACUGGACCAUAACUGACGCUGAGGCGCGAAAGCUAGGGGAGCAAACAGG